rnacentral:tRNA from 1 species
AUUAAAGUGACAGAAAAUGUGAGGAAUUUAAGCUUCCUCUAUGAAUAAAAAUUCCUUUAAUA